GUGCUCGCUUCAGCAGCACAUAUACUAAAAUUGGAACGAUACAGAGAAGAUUAGCAUGGCCCCUGCACAAGGAUGACAUGCAAAUUCGCGAAGUAUUCCAUAUUAAA
ensembl:snRNA U6 U6 spliceosomal RNA